rnacentral:piRNA from 1 species
UCCUUGAGCUCCACCUUCUCAUACUUGACGU